rnacentral:tRNA from 1 species
GGCCCCGUAGCUCAGUUGGAUAGAGCAACGGACUUCUAAUCCGUAGGUCCCAGGUUCGAAUCCUGGCGGGGUCGCCA